GGUCACGUAGCUCAGUGGAUAGAGCAAGUGCCUUCUAAGCACUAGGUCGAGGGUUCGAAUCCUUCCGUGAUCGCCA
rnacentral:tRNA from 1 species